rnacentral:rRNA from 1 species
GGUGAACGCUGGCGGCGUGCUUAAGACAUGCAAGUCGAACGGCAGUCUUCGGACUGUAGUGGCGCACGGGUGAGUAACGCGUAACUGACCUACCCCAAAGUCGCGGAUAACGAUUCGAAAGAAUCGCUAAUACGUGAUGUGCUGUCAGAUUGUGUUCUGCCAGUAAAGAUUGAUUGCUUUGGGAUGGGGUUGCGUUCCAUCAGCUAGUUGGUGGGGUAAAGGCCCACCAAGUCGACGACGGAUAGCCGGCCUGAGAGGGUGGCCGGCCACAGGGGCACUGAGACACGGGUCCCACUCCUACGGGAGGCAGCAGUUAGGAAUAGUCAACAAUGGGCGAGAGCCGGAUGGAGCGACGCGGCGUGAGGGAUGAAGGUCUUCGGAUCGUAAACCUCUGAAACAGGGACGAAAGACACUUCGGUGGGGUGACGGUACCUGAGUAAUAGCACCGGCUAACUCCGUGCCAGCCGCCGCCGUAAUAC